rnacentral:rRNA from 1 species
GCUCAACCGGGGAGGGUCAUUGGAAACUGGGGAACUUGAGUGCAGAAGAGGAGAGUGGAAUUCCACGUGUAGCGGUGAAAUGCGUAGAGAUGUGGAGGAACACCAGUGGCGAAGGCGACUCUCUGGUCUGUAACUGACGCUGAGGCGCGAAAGCGUGGGGAGCGAACAGGAUUAGAUACCCUGGUAGUCCACGCCGUAAACGAUGAGUGCUAAGUGUUAGAGGGUUUCCGCCCUUUAGUGCUGCAGCAAACGCAUUAAGCACUCCGCCUGGGGAGUACGGUCGCAAGACUGAAACUCAAAGGAAUUGACGGGGGCCCGCACAAGCGGUGGAGCAUGUGGUUUAAUUCGAAGCAACGCGAAGAACCUUACCAGGUCUUGACAUCCUCUGACAACCCUAGAGAUAGGGCUUCCCCUUCGGGGGCAGAGUGACAGGUGGUGCAUGGUUGUCGUCAGCUCGUGUCGUGUGAUGUUGGGUUAAGUCCCGCAACGAGCGCAACCCUUGAUCUUAGUUGCCAGCAUUCAGUUGGGCACUCUAAGGUGACUGCCGGUGACAAACCGGAGGAAGGUGGGGAUGACGUCAAAUCAUCAUGCCCCUUAUGACCUGGGCUACACACGUGCUACAAUGGGCAGAACAAAG